CCUUUGACGUUAGCGGCGGACGGGUGAGUAACACGUGGGUAACCUACCUAUAAGACUGGGAUAACUUCGGGAAACCGGAGCUAAUACCGGAUAAUAUUUCGAACCGCAUGGUUCGAUAGUGAAAGAUGGUUUUGCUAUCACUUAUAGAUGGACCCGCGCCGUAUUAGCUAGUUGGUAAGGUAACGGCUUACAAAGGCGACGAUACGUAGCCGACCUGAGAGGGUGAUCGGCCACACUGGAACUGAGACACGGUCCAGACUCCUACGGGAGGCAGCAGUU
rnacentral:rRNA from 1 species